UAGAUCCAGGUGUGAACAUACCGAAAACUUAGCUGUAGCUGGCCUGGCCCCACUCACUAGAAGGUCUCCCGUGGAGAGCAGCCCAGACCCGGCCACACUCAGUGAGGAGGAAGUGCGCCUCCUGCUGGCUGCACUGGUGCAGGACUAUGUGCAGAUGAAGGCCAGUGAGCUGGAGCAGGAGCAGGAGACAGAGCUCCAGUUUCAGUUCUUGCCGGAGAGUUUCCAGAUUUCUCCUCCUGAUGGCCUGUUCUGUGGAUUUUGGAUUUGCCAAGGCAGCCCUCACAAUCCGUGAAAACAUGAAAACAGAAUUUCAACUGAUUCAGCACAAAAGAUUACAAUAACCUAAUAUGAUCAUUGGAAAAGAAUGAAUCAGAAUCUUGGCUUCUAUUGAAGAACAGACAUUACCUUGUAGGUAUCCCCCGCCACAAAAAAGCCAGAAAAAAUCUGAUGACAAUAGAGAAUGACGUAAAAAAUUUUUUAAUGCUAAAGAUUGAACUGUAAAAAACUCUCCUGAAUUGUGCCCUAAACCUAUGUGUUCCAAAAAAAGUUUGAAGGCUUAUUCCAUCUGCAUCAUCUGGGUACUUGUAAAGACAUAUACAUAUCCCCAGGCUCCAUCCUAUGCCAACCAAAUCACCAGGGGUCAGGUCUGAGUAUUAAAUAUUUACCAGGAGAUUCUGACGCACAACGACUUUUGGGAAGUAGCACUCAACUGUCAGUGCUUAUGUCAUAUCCUUUCUUUCCUUCAUCUCAUUGGUCAAGGUCAGGUUUCUGCAGGAAGCUCUCUGUGUUUUUUUUUUUUUACCUGCUGGCAAAUUUCUGCGGUUCCUUUUGUUUACUAACUCCCUUAUCUUAAUAUGGCAUUUAAUCAGAGUAUGUUAGUUUAUGAAACCAUGAAAUUGGGUUUGGAAAAUAGUGGAGAAAAGUAAAACAAUAUUUAAUUUCUUCCCAUAUUGGAUCUUUAGAUCCUGCUUUGCUACAUUAGUUCAGGCAUUCUCUCACAUAGAACAACAGGCAUAUUAAUAUUCAAAUGCAAAUCUGAAUGUAACCCACAUCACUGGCAAGAAAGAUCCUAGCAUGUAGUUUCCUGGGAAGAUAUCAUAGCUCACUUGGAUUAAACAACAGCUAAGGAUUUUCCAACUGAUAAGCUUGAUAUAAUAAAGUUCCUGACCUAAUGCUUUAGGUUUAAUUAACAGUACCACUUUAGGCUUAGAACAAAGGUCUAAUCCUCAGGAUCCAAAGUUCAAAUCCCAGUUGUACUAUUAAAUGGGAUUUUAGGAAAUUUGCUUCACUUUUUCACAUCUAGAUUUUCUGAUUAGUAAAAUGAAGAUACAGUAUGUCAUACUGAAACAAUAACAAUAGCUAAUAGUCAUUAGACGCUAUGCUAAAUGGAAGGCAAGUGGGAAAACAAAAUGAAUUGUUUCUCAUCCAUUGAAGAAAUAUUGGCAAGGUGUGGUGCCUCAUGCCUGUAAUCCCAGUGC
rnacentral:lncRNA from 1 species